GCCCGGGUGGUGAAACUGGUAAACACAGGGGACUGCCAAUCCCCCGGCCUCUGUAGCGAAACCUACAUGCCUUACGGGUUCGAAGCCCGUCCCGGGCA
rnacentral:tRNA from 1 species